AUCUGCCUUCACUUUAUACUAAUAUACACUUGCAUACACGUACAUGAAGUAUUCGGUGACUGUCUGAGGCGGCACUGAAUAUAUAUUCGUUGUUGAGUAUCAUAUCGAGGAUUGUAUUAAUAUUUCAUAUCAUUUUGAAUUAUUUAAAUGCUUUUGUCAAGAUAUGCAAUAAUUCUAUUCCUGGUACGUACGUUAAUGACUUUCGAGUUGUGUAUGAAUUUAUCUGUCUUCACUUUAUAAACUUACAUACAUGUACACGAAGUAUUCGGUGACUGUCUUAGGCGGCACUGAAUAUAUUCGUUGUUGGGUAUCAUAUCGAGGAUUGUAUAAAUAGUUUAUAUCUCUUUGAAUUAUUUACAUGUUUUUGUCAAGAUAUGCAAUAAUUCUAUUCCUGGUACGUACGUUAAUGACUUUCGAGUUGUGUAUGAAUUUAUCUGUCUUCACUUUAUAAACUUACAUACAUGUACACGAAGUAUUCGGUGACUGUCUUAGGCGGCACUGAAUAUAUUCGUUGUUGGGUAUCAUAUCGAGGAUUGUAUAAAUAGUUUAUAUCUCUUUGAAUUAUUUACAUGUUUUUGUCAAGAUAUGCAAUAAUUCUAUUCCAGGUUGGUACGUUAAUGAGUUUCGAUUAUGUAUUUAUUUUAUUUUAGUUAAUAUUUUUAUUAUCCAUCCUUAGAAUUCCAUUGAUCUAUGUUGUGAAUAGUUUUGUUAGUAUUUACAUCGUUAUCAAGCUGUAUACAUUAAGUAAUUGAAGCACAUUUUUGGGUGGGGCGAGUGACCCUUCUCUGUACGUUCAUUGUCCCUCUUGUGGGAUGUUUUUGGGCCCCACCUUCUGCUGCAUUCUGAUAUUGUAAAAUCUGUAAUCUCAUUUGGCAUUUGUAAUAAAUGCUCUAUACACACACACGCCCUCUUUAUUAUUUAACAUGCUGCAGAACAGAGCUGCAAAUGUGCUUCAGGUUCACAUGAACCGAAUUGUUCAUCAGUUUCAGUAUUUAAGAGCUCAUAAGUGUAUUUAUGUAUAUAAAGGAAUUUAUGUGAUCUAAAUACGUAAUAAAUUGCAUAUUUUUAUUAAUUACCAAUUUGUUUGAAUUCAUGGGUCCCGAAGGGUUUUCCGGGUUUUAUACUUAAGCGUCCUCUAGUAACGGCUAUUAGCCUUAUCCUUAUCAGAAUAACAUUUCGGCUCCAAAAUGUGGUUUACAAAUUUUACCCACCACCACCCCUUCAAUCCUCCAUAAUUAUUGUUAUUGUAGAAAAUACAUGUACUAGUUUCUUUUAUAUAAGGUGCCUAUUGUUAUUGCAUGACUUUUGUACUUAUUGUUAAUUUUGUAGAAAAUAUAUGUACUAGUUUUCUUUUGUAUAAGGUGUGGGAUGUUUUUGGGCCCCACCUUCUGCUGCAUUCUGAUAUUGUAAAAUCUGUAAUCUCAUUUGGCAUUUGUAAUAAAUGCUCUAUACACACACA